rnacentral:misc_RNA from 1 species
GAUGAAGAACGUAGCGAAAUGCGAUAAGUAGUGUGAAUUGCAGAAUUCAGUGAAUCAUCGAAUCUUUGAACGCACAUUGCGCCCCUUGGUAUUCCAUGGGGCAUGCCUGUUCGAGCGUCAUUUGUACCUUCAAGCUUUGCUUGGUGUUGGGUGUUUGUCUCGCCUUUGCGUGUAGACUCGCCUUAAAAUAAUUGGCAGCCGGCGUAUUGAUUUCGGAGCGCAGUACAUCUCGCGCUUUGCACUCAUAACGACAGCGUCCAAAAGUACAUUUUACACUCUUGACCUCGGAUCAGGUAGGGAUACCCGCUGAAUUUAAGCAUAUCAAUAAGCGGAGGA